rnacentral:rRNA from 1 species
UACGGAGGGGGCUAGCGUUGUUCGGAAUUACUGGGCGUAAAGCGCGCGUAGGCGGACCUGCAAGUCGGGGGUGAAAGCCCGAGGCUUAACCUCGGAACUGCCUUCGAUACUGCGGGUCUCGAGUCCGGGAGAGGUGAGUGGAAUUCCUAGUGUAGAGGUGAAAUUCGUAGAUAUUAGGAAGAACACCAGUGGCGAAGGCGGCUCACUGGUCCGGUACUGACGCUGAGGUGCGAAAGCGUGGGGAGCAAACAGG